rnacentral:lncRNA from 1 species
AGGCUCCAUCUUGAUGAAGGAAGCAACCACCUUGCAGAAGGAAUUGUCUCUGGCUGCUAAGAGCUACAGGUGGAGAAUCCAGAUAUCUCAGUCUUGCAUCUACAGGGACAUCCAUUUUCCCAACCAUCUGAGAGACUUUGGAAGUGGAUUUCCCUCCUGUCAACAGCCCAGGCUAAAAGCAAAUGAAAGCGUCCUAUUUCAAAGAUCUCCCAUCUACUGGCAUCGCACACCCCGUCCUAGUCAGACGCUGUGAGAAGUAUUCUUGGAGUGUUAUCAACUACAAAUUCUGAAACAAGUAUGGCUGUUUGCACAGGAUUUCAUGCUGAAUAAUAUAGUAACAUCUAGAAAUUCCUAACCUAGAGGGAGGGGGUUGGGGGGGAGAUCUGGACAGAGUCCCGCAAAUCACUAUUAGAGCUUGAGAAAUGGUCCUCUUCAAGAAACAGGGAGCCUGUCUCCUCUGGACCCCCAUCGUUGUCCUGUUCUCCAUCUUCCAAGCAGGUUUCCUGAAUCUGAAUAGCAUCUAAGUCCUGCUCUGGCUUAUCACUCAGUGCCGAAUCGUGUUUGCUAAGAAGAACCAGUGAAGCAGAUAAGGCAUCCCCGGCUUGCUGGAGAGCUUCAUAAACUCGGGAGAGCCAGGAGGACAAAGGUUGGAAGAAGUUCUGGACAUCUUGAGAUGCCAUGACCAACACCAUGACCAACUACCUCGUGUCUCCAGAGUCUGCUUGUUUGGUUCCUCCAGAACUCUGAACGUACGUGAAAUAUAGCAUGAGCAUAAGGAGAAAUUU